CCUACGGGAGGCAGCAGUGGGGGAUAUUGCACAAUGGGGGAAACCCUGAUGCAGCGACGCCGCGUGUGGGAAGACGGUCUUCUGGAUUGUAAACCACUGUCCUCAGGGACGAAAAUGACGGUACCUGGGGAGGAAGCUCCGGCUAACUACGUGACAGCAGCCGCGGUAAUACGUAGGGAGCAAGCGUUGUCCGGAAUUACUGGGUGUAAAGGGAGCGUAGGCGGGGAUGCAAGUUGGGUGUCAAAACUACCGGCUCAACCGAUAGUCGCACUCACAACUGCAACUCUUGAGUGAAGUAGAGGCAGGCGGAAUUCGUAGUGUAGCGGUGAAAUGCGUAGAUAUUAGGAGGAACACCAGUGGCGAAGGCGGCCUGCUGGGCUUUUACUGACGCUGAGGCUCGAAAGUGUGGGGAGCAAACAGGAUUAGAUACCCCAGUAGUC
rnacentral:rRNA from 1 species